UACGAAGGGUGCAAGCGUUACUCGGAAUUACUGGGCGUAAAGCGUGCGUAGGUGGUGCGUUAAGUCUGUCGUGAAAGCCCCGGGCUUAACCUGGGAACUGCGUUUGAUACGGAUGGGCUAGAGUUCGGGAGAGGAGAGUGGAAUUCCCAGUGUAGAGGUGAAAUUCGUAGAUAUUGGGAAGGAACACCGGUGGCGAAGGCGGCGACCUGGUCCGAUACUGACGCUGAGGCGCGAAAGCGUGGGAGCAAACAGG
rnacentral:rRNA from 1 species